AUUUAUGCGCGCCUGUGCUGCACCAUUCUGUUUUAUUGCUAUAUCUUUGUUAACUUUUGUCCAUACGCGCCUUCAAUUAUAUUUACUAUCUGGACAAGUCGCUCUUUUAAAUGAAUGACUACGUCAAGUUGAUAGGCCGCUGUUUCAAGGCCGCUUUAAUAAGUUUAGUGCCGGAGAUGCC